rnacentral:tRNA from 1 species
AAAAAGAUAAGCUAAUUAAGCUACCGGGCUCAUACCCCGCUCAUAAAGGCUCUAACCCUUUUCUUUUUA